rnacentral:misc_RNA from 1 species
UACGUACUGUGCGAACGUUAUCCGGAAUCACUGGGCUUAAAGGGUGCGUAGGCGGCCUUUCAAGUCGGGUGUGAAAGUCCCCGGCCUAACCGGGGAAUUGCGCCCGAAACUAGAAGGCUUGAGUGCGCUAGGGGUGUGCGGAACUUCCGGUGGAGCGGUGAAAUGUGUUGAUAUCGGAAGGAACGCCGGUGGCGAAAGCGGCACACUGGGGCGCAACUGACGCUGAGGCACGAAAGCCAGGGGAGCGAACGGG